GCUGGCUGUGUUAUGGAAAUGAUAGACAUAAAAUGAAGAGAGAUGCUGACCUAAUGGCCAUGGACCUAUGUUUGACAUUAUCUUUCUGCCCAGGGGUGAGCUGCCUGCAGAAGGUGGAGCAGAGUCCUCUGUCCCUGAAGAUCCAGGAGGGAGAGAGCACCACAAUCAACUGCAGCUACACAGAAACUAUUAACGGAGGGCUACAGUGGUUCAGUCAGGACCCUGGACAAGGCCUCACCUCCCUAUUUUACCUAACUUCAGGAGAGAAGCAGAAUGGAAGGUUGAGAUCCAGGUACAACAUGAAGGAGCGCCAUAGCUCCCUGCACAUCACCAAUGCCCAGCCUAGAGACUCAGCCACCUACCUCUGUGCUGUGGAAGCACAGUGAUCCCCAGACACCUGCAAGCUGUGCAUAAACCCUAGAGCUGAGCACAUUAUGACACCUUAUAAGAACAUCCACAGCUUCUUCUCCUGGUUCUCAUUCAAACUCUUUUAUUUGAUUCUGGGAUCAGUCAUUAUGCAAUGCCUGCUGCCCUGGACUGUGCACCCA